rnacentral:lncRNA from 1 species
AUUUAUAUUCUUACAACAGUAAAAUAAUAAGAUUUACUGAAUAUAUAUGACUGUUUUUAAAAUUUAUAACAUUUUUAAAACUAAAUUUUACCAAAUUUUUAUUUGAUUUUCUUCAGAAUUGAUUAUUUUUACGACAUAACUAACAAUAAUUAUUUAAAAAACUAUAACAUUACUAAACUGAUCCUUAAUAUUUUCAAGUUGGGUUGACAGAGAAAAUAAUAGAUGAAAAUAAGAAAUAUUGGCAAUAACGUGAUCCCCGUUUCGUAAAAAUAGUUUUACAAUUAUUGUCGGUGCACAUAAUGAAGACUUUUUGUGGCAGAACAUCUACGUGCUAAAAAGUGUGAUUCGAAAUUUAUUCAAAUUAUAAGUACUGAUAAGUCUUGGCUUCUCAACGCAUGGACUAAACUUACGUUAUUUGACUAGCUAAUUUGCUUAGGGUCAGUUUAGUAAAAUUAUAGUUUUUAAAAUAAUUAUUGUCAAUUUUAUUAUCAAAAUAAUCAGUUGUAAAGAAAAUUAGUUAAACAUUUGAUAAAAUUUAUUUUAAAAGUGAUAUAAAUUUUAAAAACAGUCAAACGUAUUGUGUAAAUCUUACUAUUAAAACUAAUGUAAGAAUAUAAAUGACUAAAUUAGACAUGAUGUUGAAUAAAAUUUAUUUACA